rnacentral:rRNA from 1 species
AUUGAACGCUGGCGGCAUGCCUUACACAUGCAAGUCGAACGGCAGCACGGGAGCAAUCCUGGUGGCGAGUGGCGAACGGGUGAGUAAUAUAUCGGAACGUGCCCAGUCGUGGGGGAUAACGUAGCGAAAGCUACGCUAAUACCGCAUACAAUCCAUGGAUGAAAGCGGGGGAUCGCAAGACCUCGCGCGAUGGGAGCGGCCGAUAUCAGAUUAGGUAGUUGGUGAGGUAAAGGCUCACCAAGCCGACGAUCUGUAGCUGGUCUGAGAGGACGACCAGCCACACUGGGACUGAGACACGGCCCAGACUCCUACGGGAGGCAGCAGUGGGGAAUUUUGGACAAUGGGCGCAAGCCUGAUCCAGCAAUGCCGCGUGCAGGAUGAAGGCCUUCGGGUUGUAAACUGCUUUUGUACGGAGCGAAAAGGCUUCCACUAAUACUGGGGGCUCAUGACGGUACCGUAAGAAUAAGCACCGGCUAACUACGUGCCAGCCGCCGCAGUAA